rnacentral:rRNA from 1 species
UGGGGAAUUUUGCACAAUGGGGGAAACCCUGAUGCAGCGACGCCGCGUGAUUUAGAAGGCCUUCGGGUUGUAAAAAUCUUUUCUAUGGGAAGAAAAUGACAGUACCAUAGGAAUAAGGACCGGCUAAUUACGUGCCAGCAGCCGCGGUAAUACGUAAGGUCCGAGCGUUGUCCGGAAUCAUUGGGCGUAAAGGGUACGUAGGCGGGUAAGCAAGUUAGAAGUGAAAUCCUAUAGCUCAACUAUAGUAAGCUUUUAAAACUGAUCAUCUUGAGGUAUGGAAGGGAAAGUGGAAUUCCUAGUGUAGCGGUGAAAUGCGCAGAUAUUAGGAGGAAGACCGGUGGCGAAGGCGACUUUCUGGCCAUAACCUGACGCUGAGGUACGAAAGCGUGGGUAGCAAACAGG